rnacentral:rRNA from 1 species
AUACGUAGGUGACAAGCGUUAUCCGGAUUUACUGGGCGUAAAGGGCGUGUAGGCGGUCUUGCAAGUCAGAAGUGAAAUUCCUGAGCUCAACUCGGGCGCUGCUUCUGAAACUGCAGGACUUGAGUGCUGGAGGGGAUAGCGGAAUUCCUAGUGGAGCGGUAAAAUGCGCAGAUAUUAGGAAGAACACCGGUGGCGAAGGCGGCUAUCUGGACAGUAACUGACGCUGAGGCGCGAAAGCGUGGGGAGCAAACAGGAUUAGAUACCCUGAUAGUCCACGCCGUAUACGAUGAAUACUAGGUGUAGGGGGUAUCGACUCCCUCUGUGCCGCAGUUAACACAAUAAGUAUUCCGCCUGGGGAGUACGGCCGCAAGGUUGAAACUCAAAUGAAUUGACGGGG